GACGUAGGGCGCGAGCGUUGUCCGGAUUUAUUGGGCGUAAAGAGCUCGUAGGCGGCUUGUUGCGUCGACCGUGAAAACCCGCGGCUUAACUGUGGGCUUGCGGUCGAUACGGGCGGGCUGGAGUUCGGUAGGGGAGACUGGAAUUCCUGGUGUAGCGGUGAAAUGCGCAGAUAUCAGGAGGAACACCGGUGGCGAAGGCGGGUCUCUGGGCCGAUACUGACGCUGAGGCGCGAAAGCGUGGGGAGCAAACAGG
rnacentral:rRNA from 1 species